rnacentral:rRNA from 1 species
AGCGAACGCUGGCGGCAGGCCUAACACAUGCAAGUCGAACGGAUCCUUCGGGAUUAUUGGCGGACGGUUGAGUAACACGUGGGAACGUGCCCUUUUGUUCGGAACAACUCAGGGAAACUUGAGCUAAUACCGGAUGUGCCCUUCGGGGGAAAGAUUUAUCGCCAUUGGUGCGGCCCGCGUCUGAUUAGCUAGUUGGUUAGGUAACGGCCCACCAAGGCGACGAUCAGUAGCUGGUCUGAGAGGAUGAUCAGCCACACUGGGACUGAGACACGGCCCAGACUCCUACGGGAGGCAGCAGUGGGGAAUCUUGCGAAAUGGGCGAAAGCAUGACGCAGCCAUGACGCGUGAAUGAUGAAGGUCUUAGGAUUGAAAAAUUCUUUCAGCGGGGACGAUAAUGACGGUACCCGCAGAAGAAGCCCCGGCUAACUUCGUG